GACGAACCGUCCAAACGUUAUUCGGAAUUACUGGGCUUAAAGGGUGCGUAGGCGGUGUAGCAAGUCGGGAGUGAAAUACCCCAGCUUAACUGAGGAACUGCUCUCGAUACUGCUAUGCUUGAGUGAGACAGAGGUAAGCGGAACUUAGGGUGGAGCGGUGAAAUGCGUUGAUAUCCUAAGGAACACCGGUGGCGAAGGCGGCUUACUGGGUCUCUACUGACGCUGAGGCACGAAAGCUAGGGUAGCAAACGGG
rnacentral:rRNA from 1 species